rnacentral:misc_RNA from 1 species
GAGAAACCCUAGGCCGAUGGAUAUACUGAAACAGGAAUUGGAGCAACGUCGGAAAAAUCUGGCCCAAGACGUCGGCGGCCGGAAAGUAUUCAAGCGGUCGGAGAUCGAACAGAAGCGUCUCCAGAGGAUUCGUGAAGAGGAAAAACGCGAAGCUGAGGCCAAAGCCCUCCGUCAAAAGCAAUUGGAACAGAACCAGAAGUCUACCGAUGAUUCCUCAUCAAAAUCAAACUCCACAACUGAUACUCAAUGCCUCAAGCAGGAUGCAUCAUCUUCAUCGGUAUCCAAAGCACUUACCGACGAGCAAAAAAUUGAUGCAUCAUCUUCAUCGGUAUCCAAAGCACUUACCGACGAGCAAAAAAUUGAUGGAUUAAACCUUCCUCGACAGGAAGUUGUUCGUCGACUUAGGUUUCUGAAACAACCGGUGACUUUAUUUGGUGAAGAUGACGAGGCCAGGCUUGAUCGUCUGAAGUUUGUAUUAAAAGCUGGAACGUUUGAAGUUGACGAUUCUGACAUGACUGAGGGGCAAACCAAUGACUUUUUGAGGGAUAUUGUGGAAUUGAAGAAACGGCAGAAGUCGGGGAUGAUGAGUGAAAGGAAGAGGAAGGUAACGGAGGAUUCUGGUGAGGAUAAAGAUGGAGGAGGUGGUGACGAAGAUUUAAGUGGAGAUGGGAACUCCUCAGGGGUUGAUCAUGAUAAGGAUUUGAAGAGGAUGAAAACAAAUUUUGUUGAGUUGUGUGAUGAGGAUAAGAUUUUGGUGUUUUUUAAGAAGUUGUUGAAUGAGUGGAAUCAGGAGCUUGAUGAGAUGACUGAUUCUGAAAAGCGGACGGCCAAGGGGAAAUCGAUGGUCGCUACUUUCAAGCAGUGUGCUAGGUACUUGCAUCCGCUAUUCAAGUUCUGCAGGAAAAAGUUACUUCCUGAUGACAUUAGGCAAGCACUACUUGUGGUUGUUGAAUGCUGUAUGAAGAGGGACUAUCUAGCUGCAAUGGAUCAGUAUAUUAAGAUGGCAAUCGGUAAUGCACCUUGGCCUAUUGGUGUUACUAUGGUUGGUAUUCAUGAACGGUCAGCUCGUGAGAAGAUUUACACAAACAGUGUUGCUCAUAUCAUGAAUGAUGAGACAACUAGGAAGUAUCUGCAAUCAGUUAAAAGACUGAUGACAUUCUGCCAACGACGUUAUCCAGCAAUGCCAUCGAAGGCUGUGGAGUUCAAUAGUCUUGCAAAUGGCAGUGACUUGCAGUCUCUACUUGCAGAAGAGGGUACUUCUGGGGGAUCUCAAACCUCAGAGGAAAGGCUUAGAAUAAUGCCUGCAUAAAGGGAUAAUCCUUCACAGCAUAUAUUAAUUUGCCAUUAGUACUCUCUUUAUUCUGUAUAUGUUGAUUUUGUCCAUGAUGUGGCCCGAGUCAAGGCCUGCCCCUGCCCUGCAAAGCCUUGCACGCACGACGGGGAAAAGAAUUUGGAUGACCUGGCUUGUAUCUUGUGGAAUUUGAUCUUAUGUAGAGACAACUCUCUUUUAGUUCUGGGAUGAGUUAUUAUGAUACGUGUUAAGUGCUUGCUUUUUCUUAGCGUUACCUGUGUUUCAGAAAACCAAUCUCUGCAAGGCACUGCUAAGAUUUGCUUUCACUUCCUCAGUUAAUAUUUGGCAUGCUCAUGUACCUUUC